rnacentral:lncRNA from 10 species
UCCACGUCCAUAUAUGCUGGCGGGGAAUGUGAGAGACUUGGGGAGCUGGAUUUUUCUUAAGAUGUUCUGUGUUUCCUUCAUUAAAAACUGCCUUGAGAGAAGACAAUGCAAGAAGACACAUAGAGAAGACAAACAUGUACAAGUCAAGGAACCAGGCCUAGAAGAGAUCCCUCCCUCACAGCCUGCAGAGGAACCCACCCUGCUAACACCUUGAUCUCAAACUUCCAGCCUCCAGAGUGGCAAGACAAUAAAUGUGUAAUUGAAUCCUCCCAGUUUGUUGUACUUUGUUGUAACACCCCUGGCAGACUAAUAUACAGAUAUUUAGAAUUCUUAUGUUAUUAAACUGAUAAUUAAAUAAAUUACAUCACCCCA